GAUGAACGCUGGCGGCGUGCCUAACACAUGCAAGUCGAACGAAGAGGCUCCCUUCGGGGAGUACUUCAGUGGCGGACGGGUGAGUAACACGUAGGUGACCUGCCCCGAAGCAGGGGAUAACGGCUCGAAAGGGCCGCUAAUACCCAAGAGGAUCGCGUAUCAAACCGCGCUCAGAGCUACGGCGUUUCGGGAGGGGCCUGCGGCCCAUCAGCUAGUUGGUAGGGUAAUGGCCUACCAAGGCAAUGACGGGUAGGGGACCUGAGAGGGUGGUCCCCCACACUGGCACUGACACACGGGCCAGACUCCUACGGGUGGCAG
rnacentral:rRNA from 1 species